AACGAACGUUGGCGGCGUGGAUUAGGCAUGCAAGUCGAGCGAAUCCCCGCAAGGGGGGAAGCGGCGAAAGGGGCAGUAAGGCGUGGGUAACCUACCCCGGGGACUGGUAUAGCCCUUCGAGAGAAGGGGUAAUCCCGGGCGACGUGUCGAGGGGGCAUCCCCUUGCCACCAAAUGAGUUUCGCCCCGGGAGGGGCCCACGUGGUAUUAGCUAGUUGGUGGGGUAACGGCCCACCAAGGCGAAGAUGCCUAGCGGGUGUGAGAGCACGACCCGCGCCACUGGCACUGAGACACUGGCCAGACACCUACGGGUGGCUGCAGUCGAGGAUCUUCGGCAAUGGGCGCAAGCCUGACCGAGCGACGCCGCGUGGGCGAUGAAGGCCUUCGGGUUGUAAAGCCCUGUCGAGGGGGAGAAAGUGGAAACUUGAUCUAUCCCUGGAGGAAGCACGGGCUAAGUUCGUGCCAGCAGCCGCGGUAACAC
rnacentral:rRNA from 1 species